UACAGAGGGUGCGAGCGUUGUUCGGAAUUAUUGGGCGUAAAGGGCGCGUAGGCGGCGCCACAAGUCACUUGUGAAAACUCUGGGCUCAACUCAGAGCCUGCAAGCGAAACUGUGGUGCUGGAGUAUGGGAGAGGUGCGUGGAAUUCCCGGUGUAGCGGUGAAAUGCGCAGAUAUCAGGAGGAACACCAAUGGCGAAGGCAGCUCGCUGGGACGGUACUGACGCUGAGACGCGAAAGCGUGGGGAGCAAACAGG
rnacentral:rRNA from 1 species